rnacentral:rRNA from 14 species
GACUGGGGCGGUACAUCUGUCAAAAAAUAACGCAGUGUCCUAAGCCAGCUCAGCGAGGACGGAAACUCCGCGUAGAGCAAAAGGGCAAAUGCUGGCUUGAUCCCGGACGCUCAGUACGCGUAGGGACUGN